GAAGGGCUGCUUGAAUCAGAUGCUAGAUAGUUGCAGUCCUCUAAGGAAAACGGUUCCUACUGUAAAAUGAAAUUCUUGAGCGAUAGCUUGUAGUCGUGUUUGCUGUUAUUCCUUUACUGUGUGCGGGAGGUGCUGCAAUAUAUCAAGGUGCAGCUGUUCCAUGAUCCCCAGUUCGACGGCCAGCUUGAAUAGCCGGCCCAGCACUAUGCACUGUGUGUACAAGCAAGGUAUGGAUUGAAGCAAAAGUCCUUAAACAAGCAACAAGUGAUGACAUGAUCUCAAUUUGCACUACAGGCUGGUCACCUUCUCCAAAUUCUUCAAAUGUUGUGCACUUAAGUGAAAAUGAGGUGGGAAUAUCUCGACAAGCCAUUCUGAUGUGUAUUCCAUUGGUACUUUGUUCUAUGCAUCUCCACCAAAUAACUCUAUUUAGUUGUGUCCAGCUAUUGUAGGUGAUAUCUAAUAUUGCUCUUCGCCAUUCCGCUCUACAUAAUUAUAUAUCAUGAAACACUUCAAGAGGUUUACUUUUUAUUUCUUGGGGUGUUAUUCUUUCCUAAAUUUAGUGUACAUUUUUAUCUCCUUAAAUGUUGGUUAAUAUCAGGAAAUAUGGAUCCAUACAGUUGUGGUUGGUUCUUCGGGAAUUCACAGACAUAUUGUUUAUACUUUGUCCUACAUGUUAUAGGAUGUAGGUUGGUGUUUCAUGAAACUCAUAAUCAGAUAUGGUGAUUAAAACUAAUGGUGCAUUAGUAUCUUAUUAAACUAUGGCCAGUCAACCAUUUCUUGGGAAUAGUGUUAUAUCAUAUCAAUCACUUGCAUCCAAUGGUUUGAGGAGAUCAGAAUAAGGGUCUAAAUAAUGUGCUUGCUUACUAUCCACUUGUACGUAUACUAACAUUGGAGUAUGCGGCUCUGUUCAGCGAUGGCCUUGAUGGAGCUUUUCUGAUAGUCUUGCUGGAUAUCUGAAUUACUACUGAGUGAUGAGUGAUAAGUUUUUGUCCUUUCUGCAAAAAGAAGAAAUUGUAAAUUACUUGAUAUCAUGACUUUUGUUUAGUACGGACUUAGUACAAGAAUGAUGAUUUGUUGCGUUCAACUGUAGCAUAUUUUACCCUCGCUGAUAUAAAUUUGAGGUUGCAUGUUAUAUAAAAAGAGCGCCAUGGUUAUUUGAGACAAUUUGGUAGUCAAAAGGAAUCUGGUGUGGCUGCACUACCACUUUCUAGAUUGAGGUUUUGUGUUUUUGUUUGUUGCAAUUAGCAGCUUUUGAGUCUGUUCACCGUAACAUGAGAUUUAUGCCACUUUGAAUCAGUUAACCAUGCUCACGCUAGGUGAAAUUGGGUGAUUUGCAUUUAUGAUGGUUAUUCUGUGUAAUCUAGCUUUUGCCUUUGGUUUAUGGAAAUGCUAAAAUAAGAAAGCUAGAAGAGUUUAUGUUUCUCAUCUCACUUUUAUUUUAGUGCUAGAAUCAGCCUUUGGGCUUAUUUUGUCCUCCAAAAGAUAUAUGAAGCAAUCAAGUAUUUUCCUGGCAGAGGUGGCAACAUCCGUGUGUUCGAUCUGUUGGCAUGGAGUGUGGCACCUAGGCGGCUAGGCCCUGGAUAUCAAUGGCGACGAGGAGCAGGUGUUGGCCAUCGCUUGUCUGGUAGUGAGACACAUGCGACUGGUACAAAUGUAAAGGCCUCCUUCCUCGCUCUGCAUUCAUGUUGGUUUUUCUUCCCGAAUCAUUUUCCUAUCAAUGUUAUUUUGGCACCACCAAAUUGCUCACCUAGCAUUUUCGAUGAAGUUCUAAAUGUGUUUUACCUUGUGGGUACAGGGAUAUUGAACCCGCUAACUAGAAGCAUUUGGGUAGGUUGGUGCCUAAGGACCCUGUUGAACACAAAAGUAUCCAAAGAUAAUUAGAUAACCUAAAUAUCUUUUUACAAGAUUCAGAAAUCAUCUGCUGCAUCAGCUUUCCCUAUGCAGCACAGUGAACUUACUAAGAAAUUUCAAACUUCUCACAGUCAUGGAAGACACUAAUAUCCUGGUCCUGGAGAUUCUCUUCAUUUGAUGGAUAAGCCUGCAGUCUAACACUGACGGCAGGAAGCCCAAUGACAUCCUCUUCUUCUCCCCUGGUUGUUGGAGGAUGGCUCACAACAGCAUGGAGCAUUUAGCGCAGGCGAUAUUCUUUCUGUUUCUUCUGUUUUCUUCUUUGGUUCUUUCUUCUUUCACUUUAUGGAUUUCAAUCGUUAGUUUGCACAUGGUGAGAUACCUAUUUUCUUGAAUUUUUCUAGGUUGUUUUGUGGUGCAUGCUAUAAUUACUACUACUUUUAGGUUCUGAUUUUCUUGCAGCGCUGAUGAGAUGACACACAUCUAGGAGGAUGCUAAGCAAUGUGGUGAGGAACGGUGGUUGACUGGUUGCUCAGCAUUGGUAGUAGUGUGCCCUCGAAGUUCGACAGCGGGUGUCACUGAUGUGGUAAUGAAGAGUGGAUAGGGAAGAGAAGAGGGCGGCUAUGAGCUCAUGUUUUUUAAUCUUCAUCUAAGAUGAAAUCAUUGUUCUAUUGGGAAAGGAUUAUUUCUACUUCACUGGUUAGGGUCAAGCCAUCUUCGAAGAUGGCUCCAAGGUCAUACGAGCUCCAUUCGGGCCGCUGCUGAGCAGCUGAGACCUCUUCAUUGUGGGCCCGGUGGUUGGCCAGGCUCCGCCUUCUCCAUCCUUGCUUGACGACCUCAUCCUGAGCACAGCGGAGAACAGGUCGCCGGGAUGGAUAUUGCAGCGGCUCGUCGUCUUCUCCCGCAGCUAGCCUUGUCCCUUUGCCUCCCCCUUUGGUUUGAUUAACUAAACGAUAGGUGCACCUACACUUGAUCUCAGGUCUCGCUCUCAGUUUACCUCUAGCAGGCUCAAAUAUUUUUUUCUCUGUUCUUCUUUCCUAACGAACUUGCUAUUUCAGUUCGCACAGGUUUAUUGGACACGAACCCAUACUUUCUAAUCUGAAUAAGGACAAUCCUAGGGGAAGAGAUCCUGAAGAUCCAUGUCAAUCCGGGAUGGAAGAAGGGCAUGAAGAUGAACGAGCAUCGACACACAAUCACUGCGGACCUGGUGUUCAGUGUUCACACAGGAUGGCAAUGGAAUGGUGGUGAUAUAAGAGGUGCUCCUCACAUGCCCUAUUAGUACACACUAUAGACAUUGGACAUGUGCAACCUGACGGUACCUGAUGCCUAUCGGAUAAUUAUUCACUCUUUACUUAAUGCUAAUUAUCAUCGAUGUUUCCAAUUGUAGUAUAUAAAAUAAACAUUGACACAAA